rnacentral:rRNA from 1 species
AAAUGAAUAGACGGGGGCCCGCACAAGCAGUGGAGUAUGUGGUUUAAUUCGACGCAACGCGAAGAACCUUACCAGGGCUUGACAUCCUCUGACCAUUGCAGAGAUGCAGAAUUUCCUUCGGGAACAGAGAGACAGGUGGUGCAUGGUUGUCGUCAGCUCGUGUCGUGAGAUGUUGGGUUAAGUCCCGCAACGAGCGCAACCCCUGUCGUCAGUUGCCAACAGGUGAAGCUGGGAACUUUGACGAGACCGCCGUUGACAAAACGGAGGAAGGUGGGGACGACGUCAAAUCAUCAUGCCCCUUAUGUCCUGGGCUACACACGUACUACAAUGGCAACAACAACGGGCAGCCAAGCCGCGAGGCCGAGCGAAUCCCUUAAAAGUUGUCUCAGUUCGGAUUGCAGGCUGCAACUCGCCUGCAUGAAGUCGGAAUUGCUAGUAAUGGCAGGUCAGCAUACUGCCGUGAAUACGUUCCCGGGCCUUGUACACACCGCCCGU